UGUGCUGCACCUGUAGAAGGAGGGAAAGGACCAUGUGGUGGGGACAGUGGAGGACCUCUUGUGUUAAAGAGAGGUGAUCAAUGGUGGCUAGCCGGGACUGUACUGGGUGGUAAUGGAUGCGGCAGCCCAGACUUUCCAAACGUUUUCCAGAACGUCAUCGCUUACCAGGAAUGGAUUGAACCGAUUUUCAGUAACCGUCUCCCCGAAGCCCAAACAACACGUUGCCGGGAUGAUCAGUUUAGCUGCAA